rnacentral:rRNA from 1 species
UACAGAGGUCUCAAGCGUUGUUCGGAUUCAUUGGGCGUAAAGGGUGCGUAGGUGGCGAGGCAAGUCAGAUGUGAAAUCCCGGGGCUCAACCCCGGAACUGCAUUUGAAACUGCCUUGCUCGAGUACUGGAGAGGAGACUGGAAUUUACGGUGUAGCAGUGAAAUGCGUAGAUAUCGUAAGGAAGACCAGUGGCGAAGGCGAGUCACUGGACAGUUACUGACACUGAGGCA